rnacentral:rRNA from 1 species
GGACGAACGCUGGCGGCGUGCUUAACACAUGCAAGUCGAACGGAAAGGCCCUGCUUGCAGGGUGCUCGAGUGGCGAACGGGUGAGUAACACGUGGGUGAUCUGCCUUGUACUUCGGGAUAAGCUUGGGAAACUGGGUCUAAUACCGGAUAGGACCAAUCUUUAGUGUGGCUGGUGGAAAGAUUUUUCGGUGCAAGAUGAGCCCGCGGCCUAUCAGCUUGUUGGUGGGGUAAUGGCCUACCAAGGCGUCGACGGGUAGCCGGCCUGCNNGCUGGGUGGACGGCCACAUUGGGACUGAGAUACGGCCCAGACUCCUACGGGAGGCAGCAGUGGGGAAUAUUGCACAAUGGGCGGAAGCCUGAUGCAGCGACGCCGCGUGGGGGAUGAAGGCCUUCGGGUUGUAAACUCCUUUCGCCAGGGACGAAGCUUUGUAACGGUA